AAUUCCAUGUCUUCUUUCAUAACUCAAUGGCAGAGGUUGAAGCAGGGGUCAGUUUAUUCUCAAAAGAUUUUCCUUGGUUCUAUGUCCUGUUUGCUAUACCUUUUGUAUUUUUUCUCUUUGGCAUGAUCGCUCCCUAUUUACUUGACAUAGACCAAAAUAUAAAGAAAUUCUUGAUCAGAUGCAGGUCUUCUCUGCAAAGUGUUAUGCAUAAAGCUAAAGAAAACAAUCAAAUAAAGAUGGACCAUCCAGGAAGGUCAGGCAUUUGUUAUAAAGUUGCCUCCUUGAUAGAGUAAGAGCAGAGGUACUUUGUGGAGAUGAGAUGAUCCUACAAACAGCCAGGAGAGCAUGGAGGAACUCCCAUUGUAUGACACCUAUUUUCAAGGUUGUCCCCUGGAGGUACUGAGGAGAGAAGUGCUGAGAGGGAAGGAAGUUGGAAUGGACAAAGAUCUCUCACUACUGGUGAGAAUGGAAAGAGACCCCCAGUGUUCCCAGGCUGAGAUCUGCACUCCAGGGUCAUUAGUGUGAGCCUGUAAGAAUCACAUGUGAUGUUCUCUCAGACAGGAGAGUGCAUCUGAGAUCCUCCAAUCUAUGUUUAUUCUGAAAAAAUAAAUAAAUAAGACUCUCAA